CCUACGGGAGGCAGCAGUGAGGAAUAUUGGUCAAUGGACGAGAGUCUGAACCAGCCAAGUAGCGUGAAGGAUGACUGCCCUAUGGGUUGUAAACUUCUUUUAUAUGGGAAUAAAAUGUUCCACGUGUGGGAUUUUGUAUGUACCAUAUGAAUAAGGAUCGGCUAACUCCGUGCCAGCAGCCGCGGUAAUACGGAGGAUCCGAGCGUUAUCCGGAUUUAUUGGGUUUAAAGGGAGCGUAGGUGGAUUGUUAAGUCAGUUGUGAAAGUUUGCGGCUCAACCGUAAAAUUGCAGUUGAAACUGGCAGUCGUGAGUACAGUAGAGGUGGGCGGAAUUCGUGGUGUAGCGGUGAAAUGCUUAGAUAUCACGAAGAACUCCGAUUGUGAAGGCAGCUCACUGGACUGCAACUGACACUGAGGCUCGAAAGUGUGGGUAUCAAACAGGAUUAGAUACCCCUGUAGUC
rnacentral:rRNA from 1 species